UAGGAAUCAGGAUCACCAGAACCAGAGGACCCAAGACAACACAAAAACAUCACAGAGACCAUUGAGGAACGUAGGGCUUUGCGCCAGCAGCAAGAUGAUGAAUUUAAUGCGUCUGUACUGGCAGACAGAGAAAGCGAGAUGAGACGUCAG